UACGGAGGAUGCAAGCGUUAUCCGGAAUGAUUGGGCGUAAAGCGUCCGCAGGUGGCAAUGUAAGUCUGCUGUCAAAGCGUCUGGCUCAACCAGAUAAAGGCAGUGGAAACUACAUAGCUAGAGUACGGUCGGGGUAGAAGGAAUUCCUGGUGUAGCGGUGAAAUGCGUAGAGAUCAGGAAGAACACCGGUGGCGAAAGCGUUCUGCUAGACCUGUACUGACACUGAGGGACGAAAGCUAGGGGAGCGAAAGGG
rnacentral:rRNA from 1 species